rnacentral:rRNA from 1 species
CGGAGGAAAAGAAACUAACAAGGAUUCCCCUAGUAGCGGCGAGCGAAGCGGGAAGAGCUCAAAUUUAUAAUCUGGCACCUUCGGUGUCCGAGUUGUAAUCUCUAGAAAUGUUUUCCGCGUUGGACCGCACACAAGUCUGUUGGAAUACAGCGGCAUAGUGGUGAGACCCCCGUAUAUGGUGCGGACGCCCAGCGCUUUGUGAUACAUUUUCGAAGAGUCGAGUUGUUUGGGAAUGCAGCUCAAAUUGGGUGGUAAAUUCCAUCUAAAGCUAAAUAUUGGCGAGAGACCGAUAGCGAACAAGUACCGUGAGGGAAAGAUGAAAAGCACUUUGGAAAGAGAGUUAACAGUACGUGAAAUUGUUGGAAGGGAAACGCUUGAAGUCAGACUUGCUUGCCGAGCAAUCGGUUUGCAGGCCAGCAUCAGUUUUCCGGGAUGGAUAAUGGUAGAGAGAAGGUAGCAGUUUCGGCUGUGUUAUAGCUCUCUGCUGGAUACAUCUUGGGGGACUGAGGAACGCAGUGUGCCUUUGGCGGGGGUUUCGACCUCUUCACACUUAGGAUGCUGGUGGAAUGGCUUUAAACGACCCGUCUU